AUCCCCUUCCUCUUCCACACGCACGAGCGGGCGCACCGCCGCUGCCGACGCCUUCCUCGCGGAGUUUGCGGCCGAAGGAUCGGUUGGGGCGCACCGGGUCGGCCUUCGGUGGGGCGCAGUGCGAGCUCUCGGCUCGGGGCAGGAGGCGGCUCGAUGAAGAGGAGCUGGGGCGCGACGCUCCUCUCCUGGUGUGGCGCACGAGGGAAGGAGGAGGGGAUCGAUCCAAGACGGGAGCUGAGGCUGGCGGCGCCCUUCACACAAGCCUCACCGGCGGUGCCUUCUACACAAGCCUCACCGGCGGUGCGGCGGGAGAGCUCCGACCCGUCCAUAGGUGCAGGGAUGCAGAUCCGCGUCGCGAGCCUGUACUAGGCCGAGGUUGAUGCGCCGGCGCAGGGGUCGCCAUCCAUCUUCGCCAGGUGCUUUGGCGCUGUAGAUAACACUUCUGGUUCUCCUCCAUGCUCGCAGGCCUCCAGAGUACUCCAGCAACAGCCACUAGACGGCAGGUAAGCAUGCAUUGUAUGACCUUAGCUAAUUGCGUACAUACAAGUUUGGAUGAAUUCCAAGAGAUGGAGCACUCUAUCCAAAUAGGAGAAGUGUUAGUUUAAAAGGGUACAAUUUUACAAUGAUUUUCAUGGGGAGCAAAGUAAUCACCUGCGGCAAAUUUAAGUUCUAGAAUUGACAUAUAUUCAGUUCCUUUUUUUAUAAAGAGAGCUCCCUCUCCGAUUUUCAUUAGAAGAAAUCACCGUGCCUUGCAUAUAUUCAUAUAUGCAGUUCCUGGAAGAACAAAGAAGUUGCAUGUCCUUUUAUAUAGUCUAAAAAUCACAUUGAUCCUUGGAGCAUGAUUGGGACAAAUCGCACAUAUGUCCUGUACUGCACACACGUGAAGGCAAAGGAUUUUUCUGAAUGCCAUUGUUGUCCGGUACACAUUGUUUAUCAGUUAGUAAUUUGCCCCUUCCGCAAUGUGAUGAUACUGGCAAUAAGGGAAGCAGCAUAUACCAUUGGUUUUGUUGAUAGAUUAAACCACAAACUGGUACAAUGUUUGAGAUAUAAUGUUUUCUAUCUAAAUGUUGUUUCACACAGUUAAUCAUUGGUUUUAUUUGAGAGAUAAAUUAGUUUAUGCACUGAACUAGAAAUAACACAACUACAUAUUGAUUUUCUGCUUAAAUUUCACAAUAGAUAUUUUGCCGGAUGACCCACUGUAUGAGCAUGCCACAUCCUUUCUUGCUCACCCAGCACACGACAUUCCUUACAGUAGAGGUACCACACGGGGUGGUGACUGGGAGGCUGGGACAUGCUGGCACGGCCAAACAGCUGGUUUACUGCAAUCAGGGUGCUAGAGGCUCUUGGGGUUGCAGCCCGCUCGCCUGCUGGAGGUACAAUGUUGAUUAUUUAGAGACCUCAUCUUCAUGAGACUAGCAAGGGAUGGACAUUCUGAAGAAGAAGAGAUGAGGUGAGUUUCUGAAGUUCACCGUCCAAUCCAAGUAUUAAAGGUCCCUGCACUUCCGUUGACGAGUAUUUUGUCAGCAUCUCGAUGCGGAGGACAUUUAUUUGAAAUACUAAAUUGUGGUGUCGCUACCUCUAAGGACCACAACGUUGUAGCGCCCUUGGCUCAAGGUGACCAUCUUCAGCGCAUCGUGGUGUCGCUGCCCACACGAUCUCUACAGACACCACAAAAGGCUACAGGACCGAGGAGGCCGGUGGCCUGACCACUGAAUCACGUUGUCAUGCGGGCGCCUUGAUCUCGCAUGCGCUGCACAGGUUAGAUUGACAUUUUGCCCUGUGUUUAAUUACUACAUGCACUGCACACUGAUCCAUGUAUAUAUUGGCUCCCCUAUAUAUACCUCUGUUGGUGAAAAGUUUUGACUUUCGAGUUUUGUCAG